UGUUCUAAUUUUAUUAUUUUAACUCAUGUCCAUUGUCUGGAAAUCAUUAUCACACAUCUGUGACCUCUUCAGCGACACUUUUCAUUUUUGUGUGUUCUUGCUUCACUUACUCCAUUCUAUUCUUUUAAGGUGUGUAUCCUUAUGUGUGCAUGUGUCUGUGUCCUUGUGUGUGUGUGUGUAUGCUUGAGUGUGUGUCAUAUUUUUUA